GACGAACGCUGGCGGCGUGCUUAACACAUGCAAGUCGAACGAAGUGGCGAACGGGUGAGUAACGCGUAAUCAACCUGCCCUUCAGAGGGGGACAACAGUUGGAAACGACUGCUCAUACCGCAUACUGAAGGAGGGGAUUGCGUCUGAUGAGCUCGUUGGAGGGGGAACGGCCCACCAAGGCGAUGAGCAGUAGCCGGUCUGAGAGGAUGAGCGUCCACAUUGGGACAGAGACACGGCCCAGACUCCUACGGGAGGCAGCAGUGGGGAAUCUUCCGCAAUGGGCGAAAGUAUGACGGAGCAACGCCGCGUGAGUGAUGACGGCCUUCGGGUUGUAAAGCUCUGUUAUUCGGGACGCGUGACCGGAAUAGAAAGCCACGGCUAACUACGUGCCAGCAGCCGCGGGAAUC
rnacentral:rRNA from 1 species